rnacentral:rRNA from 1 species
AUUGAACGCUGGCGGCAGGCUUAACACAUGCAAGCCGAGCGGAGCGAGGGUGCUUGCACCUUAGCUUAGCGGCGGACGGGUGAGUAAUGCUUAGGAACCUGCCUAUUAGUGGGGGACAACAUUCCGAAAGGGAUGCUAAUACCGCAUACGCCCUACGGGGGAAAGCAGGGGAUCUUCGGACCUUGCGCUAAUAGAUGAGCAUAAGUCGGAUUAGCUAGUUGGUGGGGUAAAGGCCUACCAAGGCGACGAUCUGUAGCGGGUCUGAGAGGAUGAUCCGCCACACUGGGACUGAGACACGGCCCAGACUCCUACGGGAGGCAGCAGUGGGGAAUAUUGGACAAUGGGCGGAAGCCUGAUCCAGCCAUGCCGCGUGUGUGAAGAAGGCCUUUUGGUUGUAAAGCACUUUAAGCGAGGAGGAGGCUACUAGUAUUAAUACUACUGGAUAGUGGACGUUACUCGCAGAAUAAGCACCGGCUAACUCUGUGCCAGCCGCCGCGGUAAAAC